CUUCAUCCACACAUGACCAUAAUCAUACAUAACUCUACUCCCUCUCUUAAAAACAAGAAAAAUAGCAACACACACAAUCCUUUACAACCAUCAUAUUCUUCUUCUUCAAUAACCUUCCUCAACUCUUCUUCAAACAAAACCUCUAAUCAUUCUUCAACCUUUACAUAACCUAUCCACCAAAACCGUGACCACAACCGUUCUUACCGGCGAGCUUUGAUCUUCAAACUAAGCGAAAGUAAUGUUAUCCUUCAUCUUCAUUUACGUUCAACCCUUCGUUGAAACCGCCGACCGACAUACGUAGCUCAC
rnacentral:lncRNA from 1 species